CUUCCCUCCCGAGGCCCCCACCUCGCCACCGCCUCCCAUUGUCCCGUCGCCCUCGAAACUCUCCCAGAGACGGGCGAGUUGUCCACCUGUGCAGGUCUGAACUGACUUCCUGUGCCAGGGCCUCGCCUGAGCGGGGGCAGGAAGCUCACCCUUGCAGGUCUCCCCGCGCCAACGGACGCCCUGAGGCCUGACCCUGGCUGAGGCAGAGCACCCAGCUCCGUGGACCGGGACGGACGGGCUCAGGUGCCCCCCAUUCCUUCCGAAGCCGGUUCACACCCACCCGGGCCUGGCACAGGGGAGGCGCUGGCUGCAGGGUCGGGGCGGGAGCAGCCUCAACCCGGCUCCUGGGCCGCGGCCGCAGCAGUGGAACCUGUCGGGGCAGGUAAGGGCGGGCAGCGGGGAGGCUGAGGCGCAGGGGGAGGCGGCUCCCUGCAGGGGGGCCCUCGCCAGCCCCCGCCGUGGCCGACGUGGGGCAGGGGCGCAGGUGACAGAUGGGCUGUCGCCAGCCUGGCCAGCGUCCAGGGGAGCUCCGGUCACUGCAGACACAGGCUGGAGCGGGUCCUUCCCCCCCCCAGGGAAAGGUGGGCCCCUGCGCAGAUGCGGCUGGGUUUCGGGUGUGGAGCCAUCUUGGACCCACGGGCUGCGUCUUCCGGGCACGGGCACAGUGUGUGGGCUCCAGGCAUGGGGUGCCCUCAGGGCAGGGCCUGGGCAGAGGGCAGGCUCCGAGAGGGGUCACGUUCUUGCCGCCUACCUGACAGCAGGCCUUCUAGAAAGUUCUCUCCAGAAGCAGCCACCGCCGUCCUGAGGCACUUUGUGCGGAGACGGGAAGCUGUCGCCUCAGAGGUGGGUGCGUAGAAGGGUUUGGCCGGGUGCGAGGAUGACCGCGUCUCCCUUGGGCUCUGGAGUCUGCGGUGGGAAGGGCUUGGUUUCAGCACCCUCUGGUCAGAGGCCGGCCGAGCCCAUGGGCGGUGAGGUUGGUGCCUGGGGUCGUGGCUGGUCUGGUACAGGUGGGGCUCAGCCCGGAGAAGCUGGAGCCGGUUCCCAGGCCCCGCGCUAUGACUGGGGUGGGGGCAACGUCUCUCGUGAGGUUUUUUACUUAAAUGUGAAACGGCUCAGUACGGUGGCCGCAGCCGGGAACAAGGUCCGACCCACCGAGGCCCAGCCUUGAACUUGCCGCGGGGGCACCUGAACACGGUUUUACAGCCCGGAUCACUGGCUUUCUUGAAGUUUGGGAACUGAUUGAUCAUGGUGGCGGGAGGUAAGGUUCAUUGUUCUUGAUGAACAAAAUUCUUAGGGCGUGAAGAGCCGAUGCUUUAAUUAACCCCCCGGGAGCGUCUCAGGCCUCCCCCCGGGAGCGUCUCAGGCCCCGUUUACGCUGAGUGUCUGGGGAAAGACGUGGUUUGGUUUUGUUUUUCUAGUAACCCAGAUGAAAUGUUUAAAAGCAUGGUUGGCAGCACAUUGAAUUUGGCAAAAUUAAGGUUUGCAUUUGUGAAAAUGCGGAUGCAGUUUGCGGUUCUUUUCAGACAUUUUGGUAAUUUGCAAAUACUUAUUUGCGAAACGAGUUUGUCAGAACAUUUUUUAGUAUCUAGAGGAAGAUGAGAUGGGCCGAGGAGGUCGCGCACCCCUGGAUCCCUGGAGGAGCUGGUGUGUUCUCUGUGGGGCGGGUGGACGUGGCCCGGACACACGGGCCGUGCUCACAGCCGGCCUGCGAGGGCUGCAAAUCCACGCCCGCCGUGUGGGUGAAAUGGCGGCUUUGCCUCCCAGACGCGUAGCUCCGGCGACGCAGAGGGAAGAACCUGAGUGCCCGCCAGGCCGAGCUCCGCACCCCACCCCCCGGCAGCCUCUGACUCCCGGCUCGGCUCCCGCGGUCGGGGAGGGUUGGAUUUCACACUUUGUUCUCGAGGCCGCACCAUUGAUUAAGCCCGUCGGGCAGGUUAACCAACAAGUUAGGUUUUCACGCCGGGAUCACAUUCCUCGCCGGGCGCUCCCACCCCACCCCAGCCUGUGCAGGUGGGACCCGGCCAGGCAGGCGGGCAGGGCGGCCAGGUGCGCCGAGGGGCGCCUCCACGGGGAGUGUGCUCCGCAGAGAACCCCUUGCUGGGGCGGCUCUGGGCCUCCUGACUCACUCCUGGAUUUUCCCAAGCUGAGUCUGGCCCCGCGGUGAUGAUUAACCCAACACCUCAACCGGCACCGCCACGCUAGCUCCACUUCCCGGCGACGGUUGACAAGAAAGCGCCGCGUGGGGCUCUCGGAAAACAGGGAAGGUCCGUUUUCGCUUUUCAUUUCUUGACCUGUGGCCACGGUAAGACUCGGCCGCCUGCCCACCCGACUCCUUGCCCCUCACCCCUGUGCCAGGCACAAGGCCCUGCGAAAUCCUUGGUCCCCCAGCUGAGCCUGCCGGCCCAGGCCACCAUCUCCCCACCCAGCCCUGGAGCCAGGGUCGGCCUCUCCUGCUAGCUGCUCGUUGGCUUUACAGCUUCUGCACUCAGGAGGCGCCUGGGAAUCCUGCCCUGGAACUUAGGAAGGAGGCUUCUCCCACCUGCCUGCCACACGGGUCUGUCCCUGGGUCCCAGCCUCUGCCGUGUGCCCCUCAGCCUCCCGGGUGAGAACGCAAUGACUGAUGAGCCUGGGGUGGCCAGGCCAGCUCUGGCCCUGUGGGGUUCCUGAGAAGGCUGGCCCUGGGUGGCCAAGGGCCUGGGGACACUGGCCCCGGGCCCUGAACCUGGCAGUGGGAGGCCGGCCCGUCCGCCGGGUGGGCUGGGAACUGUGUUUGGCCCCAGCUGCAAGGGACGAGUGCCGGGCACCUGCUGCCCUCCCCACGUGACCUGGCAGCCAGGAAUGGAGCUGAAAUUCAACUCUGCUCUGAACGGGAAGUCUUAGUUUCCUUUAGCUCAGAAAACAGGUGAAAUUGUGUUCCUGAAGCACUGAUUUGAUGGGAUUUGAUGGCAUUGGUGGCGAAGGCCUGUGAGGUGAUGGAAAGGGAAAGCCGGGUGCCCUGGAGCCUGACAGGCUGGGGCCAGGGCAGGGGACCUGGUGUGGGGUCUCCGGAGAGGGUCCAGGCGUGAGGGAAGCUGGGUCAGGACCUCGGAGACGUGGCCUUUGGAGGAGGAGACUGGAACCGGGUGGACCCGGCAGCAGGCGGGGGCGGGCGGACACGACCUUUGUUGUGGUCGGCGGGCAGACAGGGGAAUCGGCACAGGGCCUGCGCCCCACCUACAGCCUCUGUGGGUGGAAGGUGCCAGAAAACUUGAAGAGUGGCUCUGGCCAGCUCUCUGGGCCCAGUUGGCACCAGGUGGUUGCAGAGAAAGGGUGGGAAGGAGGACAGGAAGGACGGCGUGUCCAGCGGGCGGGGAGCCUUGGUCUGGCCUGAGGGCUGAACCUCCCUCGGGUCCUGAGUGUGCCUGGAGUAGAAGCCUAGGGUCUCUGGGCUCCAGGCAGGGCCCUGAGCAAGGAGGGGCCACAGGGCUGCCCACUUCCUCCUGCCCCCCUGCAGAGGCGGCUCAGCCCUCGCGGCGUCUGAGGCUUGACUGCCUGUGUCUGUGUUUGUGGCCGGUCUGCCUCUGUGCCUGGGUCAGACCCCAGACCAGCAGACACACAAACCGCAGGGACGGCUGGGCAGGGUC
rnacentral:lncRNA from 1 species